rnacentral:lncRNA from 1 species
UGGCAAAGAAACAAAUUCUUUUCAUUCCCAUUCCACCUGAGUUGCUGAGUUAGCAAAGAAGCAAAUUAUUUUCAAUCCCAAAGCUAAGAGGCAUCAGUCCCAUACAACAAGCAGAAAGGCAGUCCAAAGAUGGGGCUGAGAGUCACACUGUCAGCUCAGGAGUCACAGUGCCUGGGCUCCAAUCCCAGAUCCACCCCAUUGUAACCUGGGACAAGCUCUUCAAUAUCUGUGUGUCUUAGUUUCCUCAUCUGGAAGAGAACAGGGCGGAGCAGGAUGGGCAGACAGAGACAACGUCCAGCACAGGCAUCAACAUCACAGGCCAGGAGGGCCUUCCAGAAGCCAUCACUCCCUCCCCUGCCUCCAGGAGGGUCUGCACACCCACCUUUGUCAUGAAAGGCUGGUCUCCUUGUUCUAGAACACAUCUUCCCUAUGCUCUCCUGAGUAAACAUCCCAGUGAUUCUCUGAUGACGCUUAUUUAUAUCUCUGAAGUGCAACUGC